rnacentral:rRNA from 1 species
UACGUAGGUGGCGAGCGUUGUCCGGAUUUACUGGGCGUAAAGGGAGCGUAGGCGGACUUUUAAGUGAGAUGUGAAAUACUCGGGCUCAACUUGAGUGCUGCAUUUCAAACUCGAAGUCUAGAGUGCAGGAGAGGAGAAUGGAAUUCCUAGUGUAGCGGUGAAAUGCGUAGAGAUUAGGAAGAACACCAGUGGCGAAGGCGAUUCUCUGGACUGUGACUGACGCUGAGGCUCGAAAGCGUGGGGAGCAAACAGG